rnacentral:rRNA from 1 species
UACGUAGGGGGCAAGCGUUGUCCGGAUUUACUGGGCGUAAAGGGCGCGUAGGCGGUCAGCACAAGUCAGUUGUGAAAUCUCCGGGCUUAACCCGGAAAGGUCAACUGAUACUGUGCGACUAGAGUGCGGAAGGGGCAACUGGAAUUCUCGGUGUAGCGGUGAAAUGCGUAGAUAUCGGGAGGAACACCAGUGGCGAAGGCGGCUUUCUGGCCUGUUCUUGACGCUGAGGCGCGAAAGCUAGGGUAGCAAACGGG